CGCGUAGGAACCUGCCUUUAGGUUCGGAAUAACUCAGAGAAAUUUGAGCUAAUACCGGAUAAUGUCUUCGGACCAAAGAUUUAUCGCCUUUAGAUGGGCCCGCGUUAGAUUAGCUAGUUGGUGGGGUAAUGGCCCACCAAGGCGACGAUCUCUAGCUGGUCUGAGAGGAUGAUCAGCCACACUGGAACUGAGACACGGUCCAGACUCCUACGGGAGGCAGCAGUGGGGAAUAUUGCACAAUGGGCGAAAGCCUGAUGCAGCCAUGCCGCGUGUGUGAAGAAGGCUCUAGGGUUGUAAAGC
rnacentral:rRNA from 1 species